CACCAGAGGACACAGACAUGUUACGCUUCCUCUGAUGGCCGGAAGGAAACCUUGAUGAACCACAGGAGUUCAAAAUGACUGUGCAUUUGUUCGGUGCAACAUCUUCACCGAGUUGCGCCAACUUUGCCUUAAAAAGAACAGCAGAGGAUGCCACACACGAAAUGUCACCUCUGGCGAUUAGUGCAGUGCAGAACAUUUUUUACGUAGACGAUUGCCUUUUGUCAGUGUCAAAUGAAAGUGAAGCCUGCGCUCUAGUUAAGGAGCUAACAGAACUAUGUGCAAGUGGAGGUUUUCGUCUUACGAAAUGGAAUAGUAACAGCAGAGUUGUUCUGGCCUCCAUUCCUGAAACAGAAAGAGCAUCAGAGGUUAAGGCAUUAGACCUCUGUCAUGACAACCUUCCAGAAGAACGAGUCUUAGGAGUUAACUGGUGCAUUGAAACCGACUCCUUCAAAAUCAAAAUCAAUGAGAAACCAAUGACACAAACCAGGCGGGGCAUUCUGUCGUUUGUAAGUUCAAUCUAUGAUCCCUUAGGGUUUCUUUCCCCAGUUAUUCUUCCAGCUAAAAUGAUAUUGCAGGAGCUGUGUGGAAAGAAAGUUUCAUGGGACGAGGACAUACCAACGGACAUGACUAAGAAGUCAAAACAGUGGCUAUCGGAUUUUGCAAAACUACGAGGAUUUACAGCGGACAGAUGUUUUAAGCCAGUUGGAUUUGGAAAUGUCAAAUCUGCCCAACUGCAUUAUUUCGCAGAUGCGAGCGAGAGAGGUUAUGGCGUGGUAACAUACCUUCGUGUCAGAAAUGAAAAGGGUGAGGUCCAUUGCUCAUUUGUAAUAGGCAAAUCACGAGUAUCACCUUUGAAACAAACUACCAUUCCUAGAUUAGAGCUUACAGCGGCUGCUGUAGCCGUAAAAAUCGAUAAAAUGAUGAGAAACGAGCUGAAAAUUCAACUGAAGGAAUCCACAUUCUGGUCUGACAGUACCACAGUUUUGAGGUACAUUGCAAAUGAUGG
rnacentral:lncRNA from 1 species